AUGCCGUCUCGGGGAGGACUAUAACCAGGGAAUCACAGAGGAAAGCCUUAUAAUAGCAAUGUAACUUAGUGUAAAGCCAAUAGAAGCCAGUUGGAGAGCACUGAAGACUUGGAAAAGUGGCAAUAAAGUUAACUAAAAUAAAAUAGAUGUUUUUAUUAAAUAAAAUAGGAUUUAUUCCUAUAAAAAUGUAUGUACUGCAAAACUUGGGUUUUAUCCCAUAUGUUUAAUAUUAU
rnacentral:lncRNA from 1 species